GAUGAACGCUGGCGGCGUGCCUAAUACAUGCCAGUCGAGCGAACGGACGAGAAGCUUGCUUCUCUGAUGUUAGCGGCGGACGGGUGAGUAACACGUGGAUAACCUACCUAUAAGACUGGGAUAACUUCGGGAAACCGGAGCUAAUACCGGAUAAUAUUUUGAACCGCAUGGUUCAAAAGUGAAAGACGGUCUUGCUGUCACUUAUAGAUGGAUCCGCGCUGCAUUAGCUAGUUGGUAAGGUAACGGCUUACCAAGGCAACGAUGCAUAGCCGACCUGAGAGGGUGAUCGGCCACACUGGAACUGAGACACGGUCCAGACUCCUACGGGAGGCAGCAGUAGGGAAUCUUCCGCAAUGGGCGAAAGCCUGACGGAGCAACGCCGCGUGAGUGAUGAAGGUCAUCGGAUCGUAAAACUCUGUUAUUAGGGAAGAACAUAUGUGUAAGUAACUGUGCACAUCUUGACGGUACCUAAUCAGAAAGCCACGGCUAACUACGUG
rnacentral:rRNA from 1 species